GUCCAGACAGAGUCAGCUGCUCUAUCUUCUCUCUCAGCCUGAACAUUUCGGCAAGAUAGAACAGCUGCCUCCGGUAAGACAAGGGAUGGCGGUCUGUGUCUGUUUGUAAAUAACAGCUAGUGCACAAAAUCAAAUAUUAACGAAGAUUUAGCUCGCCUGAUGUAAGAGUAUCUAAGCUUCCCUAACAUCAGCUGCCUGUUGGAUAAAGAAUACAUGGGUUUAUCACAAAGGGGUCCCAUAAGUAGGGGAUGCUGCAGCACCCUCAGCACUGCUACGUCCGGUGGCUAUGCAUUGAAGAGGAGUGGGACAACAUUCCACAGGCCACGAUCAACAGCCUGAUCAACUCUAUGCCAAGAUGUAUCACGCUGCAUGAGGCAAAUUUGAG